rnacentral:rRNA from 1 species
GUGCACCAGGCGAGAAACCUCCACAAUGCGGGAAACCGUGAUGGGGGAAGUCCGAGUGCCCGUUGGCUAAUGCUGGCGGGCUUUUCUUCAAGCGUAAAAGGACUUGAGGAAUAAGGACUGGGUAAGACCGGUGCCAGCCGCCGCGGUAACACCGGCGGUCCAACUGGUGAUCAGCAUUACUGGGCCUAAAGCGUCCGUAGCCGGAUGGUUGGAUUCUGAGUGAAAUUUCCCAGCUCAACUGGGAAGCGUGCUUGGAACA